rnacentral:rRNA from 1 species
UCAGGCGAGAGUACCCGCUGAACUUAAGCAUAU